GUACAAGUUUUCACACCCUUAUAAAUAAUUUUUGUUUCCUUCUCCAAUCAAUGUGAGAUCUCACAAUCCAUCUCCUUCGAGACACAGCUUCCUCCUUGACACUCGUUGCUUUCUUCACUUGAUGUGGGAUCUCACAAAUUUAUGCUCUUGCCCAGAUUCGGAUUACUCGCACAGAUACCGUCAACGAGUGACAAGUGCAGAAUUUGAGCUUUUGGAUGCUUAGCAUGUCACAAUCUAAUCAACAUUAAGAUCUUCCUUGCCUUCUUGAGCUCCACAUCAGGUGAAAAGCUCAGUAUUUUCAUAAAAAUCAAAGGGUAAGAGAUACUUUUUGAAAUAAAAUACAAAUUUUUAUUAUGAAUCUAGUAAAUUUGGGAAGUAUAUAGGGGUAGUUUAUAAUUAUUUGUUAAAAUGAUGUAAAAAAUUGGGUAUGAACAGCAUGGAAACAUGCUUAUCCAGUGGUUACGUGAAAAGGAAGAGGCAAAUGGAGGAAAGAAGACGGUGGCUUCUUUUGAUAAAGUGGGGAGCUUUUUGAUGUUCUUAAUUUGUUAUUAUUAUUUUUUCUAAAAAAAAAAAAAUUAGCUUU